rnacentral:rRNA from 1 species
GUCGAACGAUGAUUAUCUAGCUUGCUAGAUAUGAUUAGUGGCGGACGGGUGAGUAACAUUUAGGAAUCUGCCUAGUAGUGGGGGAUAGCUCGGGGAAACUCGAAUUAAUACCGCAUACGACCUACGGGUGAAAGGGGGCGCAAGCUCUUGCUAUUAGAUGAGCCUAAAUCAGAUUAGCUAGUUGGUGGGGUAAAGGCCCACCAAGGCGACGAUCUGUAACUGGUCUGAGAGGAUGAUCAGUCACACCGGAACUGAGACACGGUCCGGACUCCUACGGGAGGCAGCAGUGGGGAAUAUUGGACAAUGGGGGCAACCCUGAUCCAGCCAUGCCGCGUGUGUGAAGAAGGCCUUUUGGUUGUAAAGCACUUUAAGCAGGGAGGAGAGGCUAAUGGUUAAUACCCAUUAGAUUAGACGUUACCUGCAGAAUAAGCACCGGCUAACUCUGUGCCAGCAGCCGCGGUAAUACAGAGGGUGCGAGCGUUAAUCGGAAUUACUGGGCGUAAAGCGAGUGUAGGUGGCUCAUUAAGUCACAUGUGAAAUCCCCGGGCUUAACCUGGGAACUGCAUGUGAUACUGGUGGUGCUAGAAUAUGUGAGAGGGAAGUAGAAUUCC